rnacentral:rRNA from 1 species
GACGAACGCUGGCGGCGUGCUUAACACAUGCAAGUCGAACGGAAAGGCCCUGCUUGCAGGGUACUCGAGUGGCGAACGGGUGAGUAACACGUGGGUGAUCUGCCCUGCACUUCGGGAUAAGCCUGGGAAACUGGGUCUAAUACCGGAUAGGAGCCAUUUUUAGUGUGAUGGUUGGAAAGUUUUUUCGGUGUAGGAUGAGCUCGCGGCCUAUCAGCUUGUUGGUGGGGUAAUGGCCUACCAAGGCGGCGACGGGUAGCCGGCCUGAGAGGGUGGACGGCCACAUUGGGACUGGGAUACGGCCCAGACUCCUACGGGAGGCAGCAGGGGGGAAGAUUGCACAAGGGGGGCAAGCCUGAUGCAGCGGCGCCGCGUGGGGGAUGGCGGCCUUCGGGUUGUAAACUCCUUUCGCCAGGGAAGAAGCUUUUUGUGACGGUACCGAGAUAAGAAGCACCGGCAAACUACGU